rnacentral:rRNA from 1 species
UACGGAGGAUGCAAGCGUUAUCCGGAAUGAUUGGGCGUAAAGCGUCCGCAGGUGGCGAUGUAAGUCUGCUGUCAAAGCGUCUGGCUCAACCAGAUAAAGGCAGUGGAAACUACAUAGCUAGAGUAAGGUAGGGGUAGAGGGAAUUCCUGGUGUAGCGGUGAAAUGCGUAGAGAUCAGGAAGAACACCGGUGGCGAAAGCGCUCUGCUGGACCUUAACUGACACUGAGGGACGAAAGCUAGGGGAGCGAAUGGG